rnacentral:rRNA from 1 species
GAUGAACGCUAGCUACAGGCUUAACACAUGCAAGUCGAGGGGCAGCAUGGUCUUAGCUUGCUAAGGCUGAUGGCGACCGGCGCACGGGUGAGUAACACGUAUCCAACCUGCCGUCUACUCUUGGUCAGCCUUCUGAAAGGAAGAUUAAUCCAGGAUGGGAUCAUGAGUUCACAUGUCCGCAUGAUUAAAGGUAUUUUCCGGUAGACGAUGGGGAUGCGUUCCAUUAGAUAGUAGGCGGGGUAACGGCCCACCUAGUCUUCGAUGGAUAGGGGUUCUGAGAGGAAGGUCCCCCACAUUGGAACUGAGACACGGUCCAA